UUCAUGAAAAAAAUUCCGAGUACUAAAACUUUCUAUGCAAUUUCACCCUCAAUUGAAAAUUGUGUUCAUAUAGGGAAUUCUAACAUGAUAAAACUCUCUCUCAAUUAUAUAGUAAUUGUUACUUUGCAGUGUUAAAGACAUGUUUUGAGUAAUACUGGAGCAAAAUCUAAGCAAUACCCUACCUCCUGAAUCCUAACUACAAUGUUAAUAAUAAUUUUUACAUACUUUUGUAUAAUUGUUGUUAUCUGCCGUGUCGUAUGCAUAUAAUUUGUUUUGCUGACCACCAUUAGUUUAAUGGGCAACGGGAAGUUUAGGAAUUGAAACCCACAAAUCAUUGAUAUUUAUAUAUAAAUAUGUAGGAAAUAAAAGGAGAAGCAGAAGAGGAGCUACUUGAACAACCCAAAGAUGGAGAAGUGGAGAGGGUGGCUUCGCUUUGAACGCUCACUUGCUUUUCCAACUAAAUGUAUACUUUUAAAGGUCACAAAGCAUCUCAGGCCGAAGGCUGAAGGGAAAAGGCAGGGGCUGCUAGGACUUUACAAGGACUUGGAGGGUUGUGGCGAAUAUGAAGAUAUACAAGUUAUGUGGAAGAUGGUUCAGUCUUCUUGCCCAUCAACUGCCCACAAAACCAGAAGAACCAAAAGGCCUUAUUCUUGGAGGAUCAACUUCUGUUUUAGGCCAAGCUAACCCCAUCAAGGUUUUUGAUUGAGAUGUAAAUAAUAGCAGCCAAGAACAGAUUUUGUUUGCUUCCAUCUUUUCUUUGGUUAAAACCCACUUUUAUGAAAUGUUUAGAAAUCUGAACCGGAA